rnacentral:ncRNA from 2 species
CAAUGAGGUAGAGGUCGCGAGACUUAUUAAUCCUGUGGAGUGAAGAAGACACGUUGAAACAGGCCUAGGAAGAAUCGCCGAAAUGUACUGUUCUCUCUUGAACUUUAUGUUGGGACACAAGUUAAUAGCUUGUGGACUGUCUUAGUAGUGAUACUAAGUUGCGCUAUGUUUUGU